GAUGAACGCUGGCGGCGUGCCUAAUACAUGCAAGUCGAGCGAACGGACGAGAAGCUUGCUUCUCUGAUAUUAGCGGCGGACGGGUGAGUAACACGUGGAUAACCUACCUAUAAGACUGGGAUAACUUCGGGAAACCGGAGCUAAUACCGGAUAAUAUUUUGAACCGCAUGGUUCAAAAGUAAAAGACGGUCUUGCUGUCACUUAUAGAUGGAUCCGCGCUGCAUUAGCUAGUUGGUAAGGUAACGGCUUACCAAGGCAACGAUGCAUAGCCGACCUGAGAGGGUGAUCGGCCACACUGGAACUGAGACACGGUCCAGACUCCUACGGGAGGCAGCAGUAGGGAAUCUUCCGCAAUGGGCGAAAGCCUGACGGAGCAACGCCGCGUGAGUGAUGAAGGUCUUCGGAUCGUAAAACUCUGUUAUUAGGGAAGAACAUAUGUGUAAGUAACUGUGCACAUCUUGACGGUACCUAAUCAGAAAGCCACGGCUAACUACGUG
rnacentral:rRNA from 1 species